rnacentral:rRNA from 1 species
UACGUAGGGUGCGAGCGUUAAUCGGAAUUACUGGGCGUAAAGUGUGCGCAGGCGGCCGAGCAAGUCGAGUGUGAAAGCCCCGGGCUUAACUUGGGAAUUGCGCUCGAAACUACUUGGCUGGAGUGUGGCAGAGGAAGGUGGAAUUCCAGGUGUAGCGGUGAAAUGCGUAGAGAUCUGGAGGAACACCGAUGGCGAAGGCAGCCUUCUGGGCCAACACUGACACUGAGGCACGAAAGCGUGGGGAGCAAACAGG